AUUGAACGCUGGCGGCAGGCCUAACACAUGCAAGUCGAACGAGUGGCGGACGGGUGAGUAAUGUCUGGGAAACUGCCUGAUGGAGGGGGAUAACUACUGGAAACGGUAGCUCAUACCGCAUACCAUCGGAUGUGCCCAGAUGGGAUUAGCUAGUAGGUGGGGUAAAGGCUAACCUAGGCGACGAUCCCUAGCUGGUCUGAGAGGAUGACAAGCCAAACGGGAAAUGAGACACGUGCAAGACUCCUACGGGAGGCAGCAGUGGGGAAGAUUGCACAAUGGGCGCAAGCCUGAUGCAGCCAUGCCGCGUGUAUGAAGAAGGCCUUCGGGUUGUAAAGUACUUUCAGCGGGGAGGCGUUACCCGAAGAAGAAGCACCGGCUAACUCCGUGCCAGCAGCCGCGGUAAUUC
rnacentral:rRNA from 1 species